rnacentral:misc_RNA from 1 species
CCAAAUUGAAGUAUGCAAAACCAGAAUUUAUUAUCAAGCUGGCUCUUUUCCUCUCCAUGCAUUGUAGUUUCAGAAUAACAAUGAGACAAAACACACUUGGAAAAGGAAAAUAAAGGCAUCUGGACUACAGAUGUGGCCGGCAAAUUAUAGAUGCUUAUCAGAAAACAAAUUUUGCGAGUCAGGUUCAAAUGCAUAGCUGUUUGUGGCACAUUUAAAGAACGUAUCAUUACAUUGUCAUCAAAGAAUCUGCUCCAUGGUAGAUGAAAUUCCGUGCUUAUCUUAUGGCCAUCCCAAUAUAAUCCUGUUUAUAGGCAAUAUCUCUAAUGCCAAAAUUCCAAAACUAAGGUAUUACAACCAUGAAAUAGUAACUGUGAAGCCCAGCAACCAUUCAAGUUGCAGCAGCAUGAUGCUCUUGCAGUGCAAGACGAAUAGCUGGUUGCCAAAUUGUGCCAUCUGGAUUAUCGAUAAGAGAAAUUGCCAUAAUAGCUUAAUCCUUCCUAAUAGCAUCUGAUUUUUCAUAGUCUCUG